rnacentral:rRNA from 1 species
CAUUCCCCUAGUAACUGCGAGUGAAGCGGGAAAAGCUCAAAUUUAAAAUCUGGCGGUCAUGCCGUCCGAGUUGUAAUCUGGAGAAGCGUUUUCCGUGUUGGACCGUGUACAAGUCUCUUGGAACAGAGCGUCAUAGAGGGUGAGAAUCCCGUCUUUGACACGGACUACCAAUGCUUUGUGAUACGCUCUCAAAGAGUCGAGUUGUUUGGGAAUGCAGCUCAAAAUGGGUGGUAAAUGCCAUCUAAAGCUAAAUAUUGGCGAGAGACCGAUAGCGAACAAGUACCGUGAGGGAAAGAUGAAAAGCACUUUGGAAAGAGAGUUAAACAGUACGUGAAAUUGUUGAAAGGGAAACGCUUGAAGUCAGUCGCGUUGUCUGGGACUCAGCCUUGCUUCUGCAUGGUGUAUUUCCUGGUUAACGGGCCAACAUCGAUUUUGGUCGGUGGAUAAAGUCAAGAGGAAUGUGGCACCCUCGGGUGUGUUAUAGCCUCUUGUCGGAUGCAUCGACUGGGAUCGAGGAUCGCAGCACGCCUUUUUGGCCGGGGUUCGCCCACGUAACGUGCUUAGGAUGUUGGCAUAAUGGCUUUAAUCGACCCGUCUUGAAACACGGACCAAGGAGUCUAACAUGCCCGCGAGUGUUAGGGUGGAAAACCCUUGCGCGUAAUGAAAGUGAAAGUUGGGACCUCUGUCAUGGGGGGCACCGACGCCCGGCCUUGAACUUCUGUGACGGCGCCGCGGUAGAGCGUGUAUGUUGGGACCCGAAAGAUGGUGAACUAUGCCUGAAUAGGGCGAAGCCAGAGGAAACUCUGGUGGAGGCUCGUAGCGAUUCUGACGUGCAAAUCGAUCGUCAAAUUUGGGUAUAGGGGCGAAAGACUAAU